UUCUCAGCAAACUAACACAGGAACAGAAAACCAAACACUUUCCCAUGGACAGCUCUUCAGAAACUCAUGAAGACAUAAGGUUCUUCAAAAGAGGAGACUUUCAGAACAUGAGCAGGGAAAUUAUCACUUGAUAGAUGACAAGCAUUGUGAGAAACAACAGUUUGCCCUCCUUCAUUCCCUUCCUGGUUAUCUUUCCUGUCACAUGAAGAAGAAAUGAAACACCAGAGAGAAUCAAGUUAUCAUCAUCUACACCAGUCACUGUCACUGGCCUUCAAAGUUCAGUCUCCCUGGAACUCCAGAACUCUGCACUCUGUAAGAUGAAUAGCUAAUUGGAUCCUAGUACAUAAGGAAACACUGGCAAAAUAGCGGUACAUAUCGAAUAUUUCUUUUUAUGAUUGUAAAAGCAGUCAAACAUAGAUGUACAUCUGAAACAAUGGUGGAAAAGCAUGCAUUAAAUUGAAAAGCAUAGUCUUCCAUUUGUAAGUAAUUUUGUUACAUGCUGCUUAUGGGAGAUUGUUUAGUUAAAGCUAUAUUACUGCAAAAGAGAGUCAAACAGAGACAGCACAGCACACUAGUAAAACACACUAAAGCUUUUAAUUUCCUCAUUCAUUCAUUAAAGAAAUAUUUUCUUAGAGAUUAUGUUUGGCAAUAUGAUACAUUUUUGUAGAAAAAUGCAAUAAGACAAUAAUAAAAAUUGUCUUAUAGAAACAACUUCUGCUAUUAAGAAACUUAUAAAAUUUAAGA